UACAGAGGUCUCAAGCGUUGUUCGGAUUCAUUGGGCGUAAAGGGUGCGUAGGUGGCGCUGUAAGUCAGGUGUGAAAUUUCGGAGCUUAACUCCGAAACUGCAUUUGAUACUGCGGUGCUCGAGGACUGGAGAGGAGACUGGAAUUUACGGUGUAGCAGCGAAAUGCGUAGAGAUCGUAAGGAAGACCAGUGGCGAAGGCGGGUCUCUGGACAGUUCCUGACACUGAGGCACGAAGGCCAGGGGAGCAAACGGG
rnacentral:rRNA from 1 species